GAUGAACGCUGGCGGCGUGCCUAAUACAUGCAAGUCGAGCGAACAGAUGAUGAGCUUGCUCCUCUGACGUUAGCGGCGGACGGGUGAGUAACACGUGGAUAACCUACCUAUAAGACGGGUAUCACUUCGGGAAAGCGGAGCUAAUACCGGAGAAUAUACUGAACCGCAUGGUUCAAUAGUGAAAGACGGUUUUGCUGUCACUUAUAGAUGGAUCUGCGCCGCAUUAGCUAGUUGGUAAGGUAACGGCUUACCAAGGCAACGAUGCGUAGCCGACGUGUGAGAGGGAUCGGCCACACUGGAACUGGGACACGGUCCAGAGUCCUACGGGAGGCAGCAGUAGGGAAUCGUCGGCAAUGGGCGAAAGCCUGACGGAGCAACGCCGCGUGAGUGAUGAAGGUCUUCGGAUCGUAAAACUCUCUUAUUAGGGAAGAACAAAUGUGUAAGUAAAUAUGCACGUCUUGACGGUACCUAAUCAGAAAGCAACGGCUAACUACGUG
rnacentral:rRNA from 1 species